AGCUCGGCCCCACAGCUCCCCUGAGGCCCCCUGACGCCCACCAUGACUCUCCUCCAGCAGGCUGCAAUGAGGGAUGCUUUGGAGUCUAGGAGGACCUGGAAGCCCUCAGUGCAAAUCGAGCCUCAGUCACUUACUAGCUGAGAGAUCCUGGGGAAGUCCCUCCAAUUGCUUGCCUCAGUUUCCCUAAGAAUACAAUGGGGAUAACAGCAGUACCUCCCUCCUAGGGCACUGGGGAGGGUCAAAUGCCCUUUGCAUGGUGCCGGCCUCGUGGUCGGUGCUCUAUUUGUUCAGCUAUUCAGAGUCUUCCUGGCCCCCUUUGGGCUCUCCUGGCAGACAUUCUGGACUGCUUUGCCAUUUCUCCAGCUCAUUUUACAGAUGGAGAACUGAGGGAAACUGAGGACUGAUCUGAGAUGGAAGGUGAGGGGUUAAAAAAGAAACGCUGAGCACAUGGAUGAAAAAAACCCUUGGAAAGAGUCAGAUAAUGAAGGGUGAAAUGAGUUGGGGCAGGAGAACGUGACACACAGCCGUGGAACGAAUGCCGGAAGAGCAGCUGUUGGCUGGGGGAAGUGAAGCACUACAGGCUUCAUUCACCCGAAGGAACGUGACGGACUCCCAGAGGACACCGUCUGUGUCUUGGGGAAGCUGAGGCAGGGCUGGGCCCCUUGUGGAUGGCAUCUAUUAUGUGGAUGUGAAGUUCAGUGAGCUAAACAUGUUGGAGCUUUGAGACUGCAUUUGUGCACCCUCUGCUCCUUCUUUGGACAUGGACAUGCUGGUCUGUAACAUUUGGAUGAGUGUGUGAGGGCAGCGAAUUCAGGGAGAUGCCUCUUCUUGACUCCCAGGCCAGGGCUGCCUCCACUGUGCCACCUAGUGCCCAGCCAGUGUCAGCUGCCAUCCUCCUCCUCACUGGGGUGACCCUCUAUGAGCCCCAAUACCCAUGGCGAGGUCUCUGUUUCCAGGCUCUGCUGGCACCUGCCACCUCCAAGUGCAGGGCGUCACUGGGAGAUGAUGCUCUCCCUUCCAGUGAGUAAAUACAGCCGUAGCUGCCAGCAUCCUCAGCCUUCACAGAGGAGAGAGUGAAGUUGGCCACAUACCAUUGUGGUCUUUGUUGCUCUUCAGGUCCUGACACUCCAGGCCUCAGCAGAGAGACCGUGAAUUGUUGAUUAUGGUGGGUGACGCCUGGCACAGGAGGGUCACCGUCUCUCCUCCCGUGACCACAGUGCUUGGUGCUCCCCGUAAGGAGGGUUGGGCGAAAUGCCCUGGGAAGGAAAAGGAGCAGAAUCAGAAGACAGAUGGUCCUGCUGUCACUCUCAGCAAGGGAUGAGAUGCCAGCCAAAAGGCUCUUUGGAAUUCUAAUCAGGAAGCGCGUUAUGGAAAAAGAUCUUCCCGUGUGUGUAGAGAUGAGCUUCCCGGCAGUGCCUGUGUGGACAUUACGGGCCCGCCGCCAUUGGUGAGGGUAACAUUAAUUCCAUGUGGAUCAUGUGAGCCGCCGGCGGGCUCCGCCGGACCCUUCUCUUCCCUCUCCCGCCUGGCCCCAGACUGCAAGGGAGGCCAGAGGAGCCGGCGGGCGCGGGCACCCGGCGGGGGGAGGGCAGGAGGAGGGGUCCUGGAGCUGAGGAGCAGGGCCCCCAGUUUGUGCCUGCAGACGGAGGUGCUGCAGGACAUGGAGCCCGGGGACGAUGUCACCUGCUUCUACGGGCAGCGCAGAGCUGUGCGACUGCUGCACCAGUGAGAGGUGAGCCUGGCGGGGAGUGGGGGGACCUCGGGGCGCCCCCUGCCCGGCCCGGCAUCCCCGCCGCCUUCUCUCCUUCAGGAAGGGAGAAGGCGCCUUCCGUCUGCGCCCCCGGGAGCCCUCGGCGCCGACUCCCAGGACCUGUGAAAAGUACCAGCUGAAGGAGACCUAGAGGAGGCCUCAGCGCUACUGGGAGACCCGGGGGGCCCGGCAGGGGCUCGGGCCGCCGAGGGCCCAGCACUGCUCCCACUUCCACACCUUGCAGCGCCUGGACCUGCUGUGCACCCGCCCCGGGUCUCCUCCAGUGCAGCCGCGCUCUGACCGCCCUCUCUGUUCCUUACAGCUCUCUGCCAGCCCCUGCGCCUGCAGCCCCUCUCCGCCCUGUGGGUGCAGUAGCUGCCGCCCCCCCCCCCCCCCCCCCCGCCGUCCCUGCACCGGUGGGGCGGCUGCGGGCCCCGGUGCCGCCUCCGAGGCGAGGUCACGGUGGCCUUGUCCCCGCCCGCGCCCGCCUGCGUCCCGGCCCGCCCUGCCCUGCUGCAGGACUGGCACUGGGCUCGGCGCUACGGGCUGCCCUGCGUGGUUCGAGUGGACCUGAGCGGCGCCACCCCGGUCCCCAGCGCCCCCCCAGCCUUGGGCCCGCGGGUCCCGAGCCCCCCAAGCGGACCCUGGCCUUUGGCCCCUUCUCGCCAUCCAAGCGUCUGCGCCUUGUGGUCAGCCACGGCUCCAUCGCCCUUGACGUCAAUGGGGGGCACUGAGGGUAAGUGGGGGGCGCUCGGCGUGCCCCCGGCCCUCCUCCUCCUGCAGGCUGGCCCUCCACAGCUACCUAGGAGGGAGGCAGCCCAUGCCCGGGACCUGGGCACGCAAGCUGGCCUUCCGCUCAGGGCCGUCUCUCUCUUUCAACUCCCCCCUCCCUCCCCCAGUCUGUCAGGCUUGUGCAGGACACCCUGUCCCGGGUUCGAGGGUGCCCACGGCCCAGCUCUUGGGGCCAGACUUUCAGGGCUUCUCUUCCUUUCUCUCCCAGCUAGUUCCCUGAAGGCUUGAGCCAGGCGUCCCAGGAAAGUGGGGAGGGGAGGCUAGAUUUCAGGGUGCUGCUCCUCCCCCUGUGCUCGGGAUCCCCAAUCCUUUCACAGGGAGCCCGAUCCUCCUUCCCCUUGCCCGGGGCCCUCUUGGGGGGGGGGGUAUGGGGGCGGCGGCCGCCCGCACGUCUGACGAAGCAGGGAUAACCUUAGCAAGGGGCGGCCGCCACCCGGUGGCUGGAGACCCAACCCAGCAGGGAGGGACAGCAAGGAUCCCUCCCUCAGCCUCAGGAUGGUUCUAGACUUUUACCUCCUGCCUCAGUGGCACCCCGCCCCCCCCAGGGGGAAAGCCAUAAAGGGGGAGGGGAGGGGGCUCCCGCAGCCGCCCCCCCUGGCUCUCAGGGAGGCCGCCCCGCCUCAUCUUUCUCAUGGUGCUAUAGCUCCGGUGCCUCCCGGGGAGUGAGGGGAGCGGGGGCCAGCACAGCCAGCCGGGGCCCUCGGCCUCCCCACCCCGGUCCCAGGGAUUGCGGACACUGGGUGACGGGCAGUUUGCAACUGGUUUUUUAAUAAAAGUCUUCUUGUUAA